rnacentral:rRNA from 1 species
UCAGAAUGUACGCUGGCGGCACGCCUAACACAUGCAAGUCGAGCGAGGUACUUGUACCUAGCGGCAGACGGGUGCGUAACAUGUGGGAAUCUGCCUUUUGGUUCGGAACAACAUGGGGAAACCUGUGCUAAUACCGGAUAAGUCCUUACGGAGAAAGAUUUAUCGCCGAAAGAUGAGCCCGCACUAGAUUAGCUUGUUGGUAAGGUAAAAGCUUACCAAGGCUACGAUCUAUAGCUGAUUUGAGAGGAUGAUCAGCCACACUGGGACUGAGACACGGCCCAGACUCCUACGGGAGGCAGCAGUGGGGAAUCUUGCACAAUGGAGGAAACUCUGAUGCAGCGAUGCCGCGUGAGUAAGAAGGCCCUUGGGUUGUAAAGCUCUUUUGUCGGGAAAGAUAAUGAC